rnacentral:rRNA from 1 species
GACCGCCUGGGGAGUACGGCCGCAAGGUUAAAACUCAAAUGAAUUGACGGGGGCCCGCACAAGCGGUGGAGCAUGUGGUUUAAUUCGAUGCAACGCGAAGAACCUUACCUACUCUUGACAUCCAGAGAACUUAGCAGAGAUGCUUUGGUGCCUUCGGGAACUCUGAGACAGGUGCUGCAUGGCUGUCGUCAGCUCGUGUUGUGAAAUGUUGGGUUAAGUCCCGCAACGAGCGCAACCCUUAUCCUUUGUUGCCAGCGGUUCGGCCGGGAACUCAAAGGAGACUGCCAGUGAUAAACUGGAGGAAGGUGGGGAUGACGUCAAGUCAUCAUGGCCCUUACGAGUAGGGCUACACACGUGCUACAAUGGCAUAUACAAAGAGAAGCGACCUCGCGAGAGCAAGCGGACCUCAUAAAGUAUGUCGUAGUCCGGAUUGGAGUCUGCAACUCGACUCCAUGAAGUCGGAAUCGCUAGUAAUCGUGGAUCAGAAUGCCACGGUGAAUACGUUCCCGGGCCUUGUACACACCGCCCGUCACACCAUGGGAGUGGGUUGCAAAAGAAGUAGGUAGCUUAACCUUCGGGAGGGCGCUUACCACUUUGUGAUUCAUGACUGGGGUGAAGUCGUAACAAGGUAACCGUAGGGGAACCUGCGGUUGGAUCACCUCCUUA